ACGAACGCUGGCGGCGUGCUUAACACAUGCAAGUCGAACGGAAAGGCCCUGCUUUUGUGGGGUGCUCGAGUGGCGAACGGGUGAGUAACACGUGAGUAACCUGCCCUUGACUUUGGGAUAACUUCAGGAAACUGGGGCUAAUACCGGAUAGGAGCUCCUGCUGCAUGGUGGGGGUUGGAAAGUUUCGGCGGUUGGGGAUGGACUCGCGGCUUAUCAGCUUGUUGGUGGGGUAGUGGCUUACUAAGGCUUUGACGGGUAGCCGGCCUGAGAGGGUGACCGGCCACAUUGGGACUGAGAUACGGCCCAGACUCCUACGGGAGGCAGCAGUGGGGAAUAUUGCACAAUGGGCGGAAGCCUGAUGCAGCAACGCCGCGUGCGGGAUGACGGCCUUCGGGUUGUAAACCGCUUUCGCCUGUGACGAAGCGUGAGUGACGGUAAUGGGUAAAGAAGCACCGGCUAACUACGUG
rnacentral:rRNA from 1 species